rnacentral:sRNA from 1 species
UUGUUGUUGUUGUUCUUU